UUAAAUUGAAGAGUUUGAUCAUGGCUCAGAUUGAACGCUGGCGGCAGGCCUAACACAUGCAAGUCGAACGGUAACAGGAAGCAGCUUGCUGCUUYGCUGACGAGUGGCGGACGGGUGAGUAAUGUCUGGGAAACUGCCUGAUGGAGGGGGAUAACUACUGGAAACGGUGGCUAAUACCGCAUAACGUCGCAAGACCAAAGAGGGGGACCUUCGGGCCUCUUGCCAUCAGAUGUGCCCAGAUGGGAUUAGCUWGUUGGUGAGGUAACGGCUCACCAAGGCGACGAUCCCUAGCUGGUCUGAGAGGAUGACCAGCCACACUGGAACUGAGACACGGUCCAGACUCCUACGGGAGGCAGCAGUGGGGAAUAUUGCACAAUGGGCGCAAGCCUGAUGCAGCCAUGCCGCGUGUAUGAAGAAGGCCUUCGGGUUGUAAAGUACUUUCAGCGGGGAGGAAGGUGUUG
rnacentral:rRNA from 1 species